UCCUGCAUACCUCUCUGAGCACUGAGGGGAAGCGUUUGAUGAAGACAUCCCAGAUAGAAUGGAGGGCUCCAAAGUCUCUCACUCUUUACACGUCGUCCAGAGUGGGUUUCUGCAUUAGUUCCCCUCAAGAGGAAGCUUCUCUGAUGAGACAUUGAUGCCAGAUCAGAUGUGCAAUGGAACAAGAUGGAGACCUCUCAGCUCCUCCAGCUCCGGGCCUGCCUGCGUACCGCCAUGCUUCCUGCCGUGAAGAUUAUGGACCAUCCCUCAGAAUAAGCCAGCCCCUAUGGAAUGUCCUUUAUAAGGGUUGCCUUGAUCACGGUGUCUCUUCACGGCAAUGGAGAUCCUAACUAAGACACUGAUCAAGUAAAGACCAAGAGUGGGUCCAAGCAAUGUC